GAGAAUGUGGCUCAAUGGUAGAGUACUUGCCUAGCAUGCAGGAGUCCCUGGGUUCAACCCAGCAUCA
rnacentral:tRNA from 1 species